rnacentral:rRNA from 1 species
UACGAAGGGUGCAAGCGUUACUCGGAAUUACUGGGCGUAAAGCGUGCGUAGGUGGUUCGUUAAGUCUGUCGUGAAAGCCCCGGGCUCAACCUGGGAAUGGCGAUGGAUACUGGCGGGCUAGAGUGCGGUAGAGGAGAGUGGAAUUCCCGGUGUAGCAGUGAAAUGCGUAGAGAUCGGGAGGAACAUCAGUUGCGAAGGCGACUCUCUGGACCAGCACUGACACUGAGGCACGAAAGCGUGGGGAGCAAACAGG